CUUUUCGAAGUUCGUCCCCUAUUCAUUUCAACUCUGUUUUGUGUUGAGUCGAUAAACCCUAAUUGCGGUGUAAAACCUAGAAGAAGGAGGAAGAGGAAGGAUGAGACCUUUGGACGAGCGCAGUGUUCGAGCUCGUCGGAAACAACCCGAAGAACAUCGUGGAGAACCCAUCUCACGAAGGUCCCGAUUAGAACCCUGGCCGCUACUGCUUCCGCUUCCACAAGAACAAGAUCUUUAACCCCAGCGAGUCCCUCGUGAAGCGCGCCACGGCUACAAGAGUACAAGACAAACCACUACCCAACACCACUCGCCUCGUACGCGCCACCUCACCAACCACUCCUCUCGCCGCGUGUCCCUCCAAAACCCCCCUCAUUCAUCCACGUGUGUCGCCCCCUUAUCCCCAACCCAUUUCCGUCAAUUCACACCCCACCCAUUCCCCUCUUCGCCUUUUCUCUCUCCUUUCCCCACGCGUGUCGUACCCUUUCUCUUUCUCUGUCUUUCUAUAUCCUCAGCAACACACUCAGAAAAUGUGGAACAACUAGAAUCUUUUGUUCCAAACAAAAACGUAUGAAUUGGUAGGUUUUUCUCCGGAGUCGUCUUCAGUUACCACUACCAAGUUCCACGCUUGGAUUUCACGUUUCUCCGAGGUUUUAUUAUCAUCAUCUCUCUCGUGUCCCUGUCUCCGUCUCUUAGUUUCUUCUUCAAAUGGCAGAAGUUGAAGACAGAGACAACCCUCAUCACGACCACCCUCUUCUUCAACAACACAAUCUCCAAUGAACAAUUUCCCGCGAGAUCUGUUAAGAACCUUUGUGGGAGUGAACAACAACAACAAUAAUAACAAUAACAACAGUCACUACCACAAUUUGCCUAUGCCAGUGGUGAAGUUAGAGGAUGAGAAAGAAGAGCUGGAACUAAGUCUCGGCCUUUCGAUGAAUGGUAGAUUUGGGGUGGACCCUACAUCGAAGAAGAUAAAGAGAACAACCUCGAUACCGGAGUUUGUGUGCGACGAGGAGAUGGGAUAUGCUGCGAUGGGGUGCACGGGUCUCUGGUGAGGACGUGUUCGCUUCCGACGGAGACGGAGGAGGAGUGGCGGAAGAGGAAGGAGUUGCAGACGCUGCGGUGGAUGGAGGCACGGAGGAAGCGCUCCGAGAAGCAGAGGAACAUGAAAGCCUUGAGAGAACAAGAACAACAACAACAGAGGUCCGAAGGGAGCAUUCCGGCGGAGCAAGGUGCAGGGGAUACGGUGAGAUUGCACCACCCUUGGCGAGGACCGUGUCGUUGACUGCACGUUUUUGUGGACUCGGCUUGAAUGGGGACUGUGAAAAGGAGAAGAGAAGUGGAAUAGCGUUAAAAAUCCAACUGUAAGGAAAAAAUUUCUUGCAGUCAUACUUGCCAGUGUGAAAAUGAAGAUAACUCUUUUAGUCUUUAACAAAGGGUUUUAGCUAGGAUAGUUCUUUGCUAUGAAGGAUCUUUUCUUACUCUGCUACUGAAUUGUCUAAAAAUUAUAUGACAGUUUUACUCCCUCUAUAUCGUGGAAGAAACUAUAUAUACCAUAAAAUAAUCAUCCUCUUACUCUUAUAUCAUGAAUCCUCUAGCGAUGAUCUGCCUUAGCUGCUACACUUUAAUUUAAGGUUAUUAUAAAAAUGCCGGGUCAACCCAUCAAAAGACAUGCAAUAACAGAGAAGCCGGAGAGAUAGAUAUAGGAAUAUCAGGAGUUCAUCAACCACAAUUGAAUCCCUCUAAAUGCUCAUUGGAUCAUAUGACAAACAAGACCAUAUUCAAUUGCCUUGUAUAUAACCACCCCAAAAAGGUUGGCGGAAAUGGCUGGAUUAAAUUGUUUUCAAACUUCUGGAUCUAUAAUUUUUUUCUUACUUACACAUCCCAGUUCAAAGCUGCAACAGAUUCCACCACAUAUUUGAUUGGGCACAAGAAUCCUAUCCACAACAGAUCAUUCCAGGUUUUAUUCAUCAACUAAAGGCAUGGUGACAGAAUGAACUGUAAAAUGCUCCUUGGAAAGCUAUCUUUGCCAGGUUUUGUGCAUUGAGUCAAUUAGAGCUUCUUGAAGUCCAGGAUAGGAUAGAAGACUCUUAUUAAAAAGAAAAUUUGUACCUAAGGACUUUAUGAAGAGAAAUUUAUAGGAUCCCGAUCUGCAAGUUGGUGUCAAAUCUGUACAUUUCCCUAUUGGUUUAUAGUUUGCAAUCUUUGAAUGUUUAACUCAAUAGUUCUUAUUCU